rnacentral:rRNA from 1 species
GAUGAACGCUGACAGAAUGCUUAACACAUGCAAGUCAACUUGAACUUCGGUUUGGGUGGCAGACGGGUGAGUAACGCGUAAAGAACUUGCCUCACAGCUAGGGACAACAUUUGGAAACGAAUGCUAAUACCUGAUAUUAUGAUUAUAUGGCAUCGUAUAAUUAUGAAAGCUAUAUGCGCUGUGAGAGAGCUUUGCGUCCCAUUAGCUAGUUGGAGAGGUAACAGCUCACCAAGGCGAUGAUGGGUAGCCGGCCUGAGAGGGUGAUCGGCCACAAGGGGACUGAGACACGGCCCUUACUCCUACGGGAGGCAACAGUGGGGAAUAUUGGACAAUGGACCGAGAGUCUGAUCCAGCAAUUCUGUGUGCACGAUGAAGUUUUUCGGAAUGUAAAGUGCUUUCAGUUGGGAAGAAAAAAAUGACGGUACCAACAGAAGAAGUGACGGCUAAAUACGUG